rnacentral:rRNA from 1 species
AGUUUGAUUCUGGCUCAGGAUGAACGCUAGCUACAGGCUUAACACAUGCAAGUCGAGGGGCAGCAUGACGAUAGCUUGCUAUUGUUGAUGGCGACCGGCGCACGGUGAGUAACGCGUAUCCAACCUUCCCCUUAGUAGGGCAUAGCCCGGCGAAAGUCGGAUUAAUACCCUAUGUUUUCCAAUGAGGACAUCUGAGCUGGAACAAAGAUUCAUCGCUAAGGGAUGGGGAUGCGUCUGAUUAGGUAGUCGGCGGGGUAACGGCCCACCGAGCCCACGAUCAGUAGGGGUUCUGAGAGGAAGGUCCCCCACAUUGGAACUGAGACACGGUCCAAACUCCUACGGGAGGCAGCAGUGAGGAAUAUUGGUCAAUGGACGAGAGUCUGAACCAGCCAAGUAGCGUGCAGGAUGACGGCCCUAUGGGUUGUAAACUGCUUUUAUGCGGGGAUAAAGUGAGGGACGUGUCCCUUUUUGUAGGUACCGCAUGAAUAAGGACCGGCUAAUUCCGUGCCAGCAGCAGC